CCUACGGGAGGCAGCAGUGGGGAAUAUUGCACAAUGGGGGAAACCCUGAUGCAGCGACGCCGCGUGAGUGAAGAAGUAUUUCGGUAUGUAAAGCUCUCUCAGCAGGGAAGAAAAUGACUAUGCCUGAAUAAGAAGCCCCGGAUAACUAAGUGCCAGCAGCCGCGGUAAUACGUAGGUGGCCAGCUUUAUCCGGAUUUACUGUGUGUAAAGGGAGAGUAGACAGCAGCACAAGUCUGGAGUGAAAUGCCGGGGCUGAACCCCGGAACUGCGUUGGAAACUGUGCAGCUAGAGUGCAGGAGAGGUAAGUGGAAUUCCUAGUGUAGCGGUGAAAUGCGUAGAUAUUAGGAGGAACACUAGUGGCGAAGGCGGCUUACUGGACUGUAACUGACGUUGAGGCUCGAAAGCGUGGGGAGCAAACAGGAUUAGAUACCCCGGUAGUC
rnacentral:rRNA from 1 species